UUCACUGAUCGGAAAUGUCUUGCCCAAAAGCAAUUCCCGCUGGAAAAAGUCAAAAGGGUUCCUGGCAUUAAAACGACCUUGCGUCAUUCCUGAUGAAAUUAGCAGCGCUGCAUGUUUAGAGACUUGCUAUGGAUGCACUUUGGUCACAGUAAGAAGUCAGAGAUUUGGGGUCUAACCCCCGUUUGAGCAGGAGCCGUCUGCUUUCACUAGCUGCGAAUCCCGAGACCAGCACUCGAAAGCGUCUUAGACCCGCAGUCCAUUUUUUGCUUGUCUUUAAGUGCAAGCGAUGGGAAUUGCUAACCUCGGCUAAGAAAAUUUCAUUUCCCCCAUCCUGCUAAACGGUUCUGGUCGACAUAUGUUUGUUAUCAGAGAGAAGUGCUAUGAACACAGAGCCAUUUUCUUAGCAGCUCUUUGACUCUGUGUUACCAUAGUCCCACACGGCAUUGGUCCUUUCCCGUUGGGAAGUCAUGAAUAAGAGACUAUGAAGCUUGCACGUCAGAUCUUCCUCAAUUAAUCCACCAUUAGCAUGUUUGGGAUCCUCUACUGGAUGGUUAACAGCAGCUUUGGUAACUGUAUGCUGUCCAUACCCAAUUAUGCUCUGCUAAAAAUGAACUCUGCAGAACAACCUUCCUGAGCUGUCAGUGUCUCCCGUUUUCCUAUUUUAACGCUUGUGUGUAGUGGCAGGCGACAGAUGGUGUAGAUCAGAUCGAUUUGAUUGCAUUAGGCGAUUUUUUUUUCCUCCUCUCCCCCCCGACUCCUUUUCUGGAAGCCCACAUUCAGCUGAGAAGCGAUCGCCGGGGACAUGGGAAGCAAGAGCAGCCGCCGAUGUGUGAAAGCAACGAGACACGGCCAGCCAGAGGCGCCGGGGUCCCUUCCCGGGGUUUGUUAACAUGGUAAUCCGGCACCAGGAGAGAAAGCUGCUUUCUGCUGCCCAGAGCCCGUUCCCCAUCACACAUCAGAUGACUCCCUGGUUUUACACACAGUUGGAGUUCUGCUUGAAACCUGGAUUUAAAGGGGAUCUGUUGCUGCGUGUGACAUCCCUCGCGAGCUCCCAGGGAGAGCUGGUGGAGCAUACAGCUAGGGAAUAGGAUGCCGGAGAAGCGCGGAGGAAGAGACCGGGCAACCACCAGGACGGGAAGGCACCGCGCCCGCUGGAUAUGGGACGGGACCGCUCGGCUACCCUUGUGGAUUCUCCUUCUGCUAGAGGGGAAUUAUAGUUAUGGAUUUAUUGCCCCGGUGCAGCACUUCCAGCAGCAGCGGCAGCUUUCUGACUCUCUUCGGUGACGGGUAUUCUUGGGUGGAUAAUACGGAUUACGUUGUUAUUGCUUAAGAAUACGCGUAGUCGAGGAGAGUACCGGCGGCGGGCAGGCAGGCAGGCAGCGCGACCGCCCCCAGCCCACCAGCUGGCUCCCAACCUCCUCUAGUUGCCAAGGCUCCCAAGAGAGGGUGAGGGGUGACCUCUGAGCCCCUCCAAAACCAAAGCCUCAUGUCCACGCUCGCUAACUUUACCUGUUCUACGAGGGAAUUACAUCCUGCUGGAGCAUGGACACAUCGGAGGAGAAGCAGCAGCCCAGCUAGCACCGGACAGCUUGGUUUCUGGCACCUGGGGGAGCGGUGUCACGAGCUCCAGAAAUGAAAGGGAAACUGAAGCCUUGCAGCUGGCAUCUCCCGGACAGGCCCUCGCCAUGCGUGGCCACCGCGGAAGCAGCAGAGCUGCGCUCUGAGGGACCGCCUGGAGCCAGCAGCUUCGGGGGCAGCACUGCAAGGUGAGCCUCGGACCUGCCCGUGGUUGGCACUGACUGACUUCGGCCCCACCACAGCAGACAGAACGACAUCCCACGUCCCCUGGGACCCCGACCCAGCUCCACGUCCAGCAGAGAUGCCUGUGGUGCCAGUGCUGCCUUCGCCCUGCUCGCUGCUGCCUGCCUGCCUCCUCCGCUGGGCCACGGCUCGGCCCAGCCCCGUCCCCACGCACUGCGCCGCCAGGCCGCCUGGCAUUUCCAGCCAUCGCAACGUGCAGCGAAAAUGCAAUGUGAAACUGCUAGCGUGGCAUGAGCAGGCUGAGCUCGGUAGAAGUGCAAUUAAAUAAAAAGUCGUGCUGUAAUACUGGGAGGCUGAUUGGAACCACAAGAUACCAGUGUCGUAUCCUGCGGCUUUUGUGUUGGUAGAUGCAGAUUUUAGCCAUUAGCAUUUAGCUAUCCAACAGAUAACAACCAGAGGAAAUGGACCUGGGGAUCUCCAGUUGUGAAUAACAGAUACAUUUUUGCCAGUAAAUUGUGGACCUGGUAAACUGCCAGAAGGAAACAAUUGUUGAGAUAUGGAAGAAUACAAUCAGGCAUUUAAUAUGUGUCAGCUUCUAACUAUGUGUAACUUAAAGACACUCCCUGAUUACUCACAAUACAUUUAAAACAGUAUGUCAAGAGAGCUCUGACACCAGAGAACCCUUGCGUGGCUCUGUUGCCAACUCCAAAUACAGGCAAGUAAAUAAAUAGCAAUCACAAGACUCAACUGACGUAUCUGUGCGAAUGGUAACAAACCCAGGGCAGGUAUCACAGUAUCUAGGUUUGGUUAGAAUGCUAUAAGAAAAGAAUGAGAAAUAAGUAAAUAAUAUGGUAAUGUAAAAUGUACCUGUUAUUAACUUCUAUAAAAUCUUAACGGCUAGGAUUUUAGAAUGUGGUAUUUAGACAAAUGUAAAGAGAGCAACACAUUAAUUGUGUUUUUCUCCAGAGCAAAAUGAAAUCGGCAUACAGAGCAAAUUAUAAUACUUAAUACUUCUCGGACAAAUUCCAGUUGAGGAUCAUGAAGUAAUUUGAAAAUAUUAAUGAAUUAGCCUCACAGCUAGCUUUCAGGUAGAUAAUAAUGAUAAUUAUUACUACAAACAAAUAUUAUAAUUCUUGCUCUGAAAUGAAAAUUGAGGCACAGAGAUUUUAUGUAUUUGUCCAAAGUGUUUUACUACUGUAACCAUCCUUCUCUAGAAUUAUUGUAUGUGAAGCGUAUCCUUUUCCAAAUACUGUAUGCGACAUGCUAUUCAGUUUUUGAGCUCUAAAAGCCAAGCAGCUGAGCUUCCUUAUGAUACAGUGUCUGUGAACAUCUCCAUUUGCAUUUGAAUUCUCAAGCAGCAACAAUCCUGCUUAAACGAUAUAAAGAAAAAAGGAAUCAUGAAAAUCAGAGCAAAAUCUGUCAAGCACCCAUCUGUGAGUGGGUAUCAGAAUAUCGCUAAGAUGCUUUGAGGAACAAAGUUCACUCCAAGUCUAACACAUAGUACUUUUUGUCUACAGAAUUAAUUCAAGAUGGGUGAAAUGAGGGCAAAUAACAUGAAAAACUGUUCCUCUACUGACAAAUGCAGGAAAGCAGUAUCUCUGCUGCAAGGGUGAUCUUGUAUUUGGUCCAUGCACACUUGCUUAAAUACUAAAGGGUUUGCAUGGCAAAAUACUCAGCAUGUUCAAAUCUCCUUUUGAUAGGCAUGCAUACCUACUGCUUCCUGGGGAGUGUUGGAGAGAGAGGGCUCUCUGGCCCUGGUGGGAUGAGGACUUGGGUUAUGGAUGCUUGUGGCAAAAAGCAAGCUUUCAUAGCCUGCUACCUGAAGCAGUGCGGAAACAAAAGGAUAGAUUCCAUCCUGGUGUUGAAAAUACUGCUGAAACCACAUCUAUUUCCUCCUGAACUGGAAUGCAUAAAAGUUAGGAACACUAAUUUGGUAGGCUAUUUGUAUCUCCUCUUCAGCAUAUAAAUUCCUGAGAGCCUUCGUCUUAGCUCUUUGCCCUCACACAUGCGCAUUUGGAAUUAACUACAAGAAAUAGGAGAAAGCUGGCAUUAACAUUAUUCUAUUGCACCAUAUUAUUUUUCCUUCAAUUUUUCAACUGUUAGAGUAUGCAAAUGUUCAGUUAACUGGUCCUCAUGUUUUCUCUUUAUUGAAUUGCUUUCACUAUGGCAAAUAAAUAUUCAUAAAGAAAUGUGGACAAUAAAUCAUUUCCAGUAGUUCAAAGCCAUUUUCGUUCUAGACUGCAUAUAUAUUCAGCUGUGACUUGCUUUUAAUAUUUCAUUCAAAAGACAGACUUGUAGAAGGACAAUAAUGAUAAUGUGUCAAGUAGUAAUUAAAACAGGGGUUAAUGAUUAAAAACAUUUUGAUCUACAUUA